CCCAAAAUCAUCCAAAACCCGCCCUAGUCUACGGUAUGAGGAAGGACCGUCUGUUUCCUAUUCGGGUCCGUGAAUCGGGACUACUGUGAGCCGCUGCGGGGCGCCGCCGGGCUGCGUGGUGACGUGACUUCCUGCGUGGAGACUUCCUGUGAUGAGUGGGAGCCGGAGCCGAAAGUUCGGGACCCGGAGCCGCGGGCGGCGCCUUCGCCCCGGAGGCUGGCGUUUCUUGGAGGGAAAAUUCCUUCUCCCGACUUCUUGCUAGGAAGAUCACGGAUCACAAUUGUAAGAAAAUCCAACGCAUUUUGUCUCUUGGCAAGACUUCAUCAGGGGUAUAUCUUCAGAUGUGAAUGAACUGAACAUCAAUUACGUGUGCACUAUGAACACUUUGAGAUGGUUAAUAAGACAUAAAGGGGUCUAUUUACUAAGCCUUGAAUGGAGAUAAAGUGGACGGGAAAAAAAGUACCAGCCAAUCAGUGUGUAACUGCCAUGUCACAGGCUGGGUUUGAAAAAUUACAGUUAGGAGCCGAUUGACUGGUACUUUAUCUCCAUCUACGUUAUUUCAUCCAAGGCUUAGUAAAUAGACCCCCAAAUUCUUUAUCCAAAUAAAAAAAAAAACCCUGACUUUUCAAAUUAGUAAGUGAACCGCAGCAUUAUUAUUUCUGACUCAUACAUGUAUUGCGUGUCAG